rfam:Triticum aestivum genome assembly, contig: Triticum_aestivum_CS42_TGACv1_scaffold_363622_4DS
AUGCUACUCCCUCCAUUCGGAAUUACUUGUCGCCAAAAUGGAUGUAUCUAGAUGUGUUUUAGUUCUAGAUACGUCCAUUUCCGAGACAAGUAAUUCCGAAUGGAGGGACUAUAUG